GGCCUCUUAGUGCUUACCACAGGCUGAGUUCUUACACUGGCUGUAUUCAAAGAGGAGGCAAAGUAAACCUACCCCAUAUACACCUCAGCUCAGGUUCUGUGCCUAGACUGUAUUGUGAAUGGGGAGCCGAAA
rnacentral:snoRNA from 1 species